AGCCCUGAGGUGUUGAACAUAUUAGAUUGCAAAUCUAAAGUCGCAGGCUAAUACCUGCUGGGGCUU
rnacentral:tRNA from 1 species